UACGGGGGGAGCAAGCGUUGUUCGGAUUUACUGGGCGUAAAGGGCGCGUAGGCGGCGUAACAAGUCACUUGUGAAAUCUCCGGGCUUAACCCGGAGCGGCCAAGUGAUACUGUUGUGCUAGAGUUCGGUAGGGGAGACUGGAAUUCCUGGUGUAGCGGUGAAAUGCGCAGAUAUCAGGAGGAACACCGAUGGCGAAGGCAGGUCUCUGGGCCGAUACUGACGCUGAGGAGCGAAAGCGUGGGGAGCGAACAGG
rnacentral:rRNA from 1 species